rnacentral:lncRNA from 1 species
AAAAUUGGGGUUUCAUUCAAUUCCUCUACUGCAAAAUAAAUUGGAAUCCAUUUUGAUUCAAUGACUAGAAUGACCCUUUGUGCCACUAUACGACUUGACUCCCCAAUUUUGUGUAUUACAUCCACUGUAUUGACAUUCUGGCUAACAAAUUUUGUUCUUUCUAUGGAGACACUGGCACUGGUACAGGACUUUCCUCUACUAGUAGUGUUUGAUGUAAUGUAUGCACGAUUACAACAUACACAUAAUUGGAACAAAGCAAAUAUGUCAACUUCCUCAAUUUCCACUAGGCUCCUAUCUUUGCAUGAAUACAAGUGGCUACGUAAGCUGCCUAGUUGAACACCAUCUGUUCAAGCGCCCCUACCGCUACAUACAAUAAUUGUUUGGACAUAUAUGUGGGAUGUGGGUACAAUCAUAACUGCCUCACCACAAAACA